rnacentral:rRNA from 1 species
AGAGAGAGACAUGCGCGCAUAUCAAUAAGCGGAGGAAAAGAAACUAACAAGGAUUCCCUUAGUAACGGCGAGUGAAGCGGGAAGAGCUCAAAUUUGAAAUCUUCAAGGUUCUACCUUGACGAAUUGUAGUUUAUAGAAGUGUUUUCUGUUAGUGGAGUGGCAAAAGUUCUUUGGAAUAGGACAUCAUAGAGGGUGAGAAUCCCGUAUUUGGUCAUUCCUCCUAGCGUUGUGAUACACUUUCAACGAGUCGGAUUGUUUGGGAAUGCAGUCCAAAAUGGGUGGUAAAUUUCAUCUAAAGCUAAAUAUUGGCGAGAGACCGAUAGCGAACAAGUACCGUGAGGGAAAGAUGAAAAGAACUUUGAAAAGAGAGUUAAACAGUACGUGAAAUUGUCAAAAGGGAAGCGCUUGACACCAGUGUUGUUUUUCCGAAAAUCAAUUACGAAUGUUUUAUUUUUGAGGAGUUAUGACUUCAUCGGCUUGCUCCUUUCUUUAUGAAACUUUCUUAAUGCACUUUUCGGUUAACAAGUCAACAUCAAUUUCUUUUGUUGUAAAAGGGUAUGAGGAAGGUGGCUUUCUUUUCGGAGAAAGUGUUUAUAGCCUUGUGCCUCUGCAAUCGGAGAGAUUGAGGUCUGCAGCGUAGAUCCUUCGGGGUUAGAUACGUUUGUGCUAAGUUAUAGCUUUUCAUAGACAACUUGUUGACUAUGUUUAGUCUUGUAGCUUACUCGCUGACGCUAUUUUACCUACGCUUAGGAUGUUGAUAGUCACAGCGUGUAC